GGCCCCCUCAGGCCCCCUCAGGCCCCCUCAGGCCCCCUCAGGCCCCCUCAGGCCGCCGGGCUCCUCGCCGCCCUCCGUCUCUGCCGUCGCCGCGCCCCACUCCGCGGCGCGUCCCCCCGGUGUAAAGUCUCAGCGCUGGGAGCCCUGUUGUUUUCUCUUGUGGUGGCGGGGGGUGGGGGCGUGUGGCACACCUCUGGUGUUGAGAGUUGCAGGGUCUCGGCUCUGCCAGGCCGAGGAGACAGGCGAAGCCUUCUGGUUGGUUGUUAGCAGAAGCAGCUAGCUCAGGAAGGAGAGGUCAUGCUUGUCUCAAGCGCCCGGAGAGAGGGCAGCCACCUGCCACCCUGGGGACCUGGAGCGGUGGCCCAGGAGGUUGUGAUGAUUGCAGGCUGUGAGGAAAAGAGGAAAGUAUAGAGGAGGACAACUUCAUAGAAUCAUAGCAUGGUUUGCCCUUCUAGGUUGGAUCAUCUGAACAUGUUGCAAAAUCCUGCCACUCCAAGACACAGGAGAAAAGUGAAGGAAGAACAUGUACAUCUUUGCUUUCUGUAUUUACUUCAGCCUGCAGAAGUUGAAAAAAAAAAGGCAUAUUAAUGAAGAACAGAAUUUUUCUUCUUCCUGGUUUGCUUCUCAUGUGGGAAAAGGAGAAAGCUUUUCUUUAAAGAGAUUCCAAUAAUAAGUCUUGCAAUAGAUCUAGAAAGACAUGUGUCUAGAUUGGGUUUGAUUUUGAGACAAAAAUUACUGUGAUAAUCUUAGGCCAGAAACCUGCAAGUGUUUAUGAAAGAAAAUGCUGAACAGGAAUAAAAAAUAUGAACAGCGUGGACAA